rnacentral:rRNA from 1 species
GAUGAACGCUGGCGGCGUGCCUAAAACAUGCAAGUCGAGCGACAGGUUAGGGAGCUUGUUCCUUUGAGGUUGGGGCGGGACGGGUGGUUAAACGUUGGUAACCUACCCUUUAGGACGGGGUAAAUUUGGGAAACCCGAGCUUAAUCCGGAAUAAAUUUUAGAACCCAUUGUUUCUAAGUGAAAAGAUGGUUUUGUUAUCCUUAUAGAUUGAACCGCGCCGUAUUAGCUUGUUGGUAAGGUAACGGCUUACCAAGGCGACGAUACGUAGCCGACCUGAGAGGGUGAUCGGCCACACUGGAACUGAGACACGGUCCAGACUCCUACGGGAGGCAGCAGUAGGGAAUCUUCCGCAAUGGGCGAAAGCCUGACGGAGCAACGCCGCGUGAGUGAUGAAGGGUUUCGGCUCGUAAAACUCUGUUAUUAGGGAAGAACAAAUGUGUAAGUAACUGUGCACAUCUUGACGGUACCUAAUCAGAAAGCCACGGCUAACUACGUG